GACGAACGCUGGCGGCGUGCUUAACACAUGCAAGUCGAACGGAAAGGCCCUGCUUUUGUGGGGUGCUCGAGUGGCGAACGGGUGAGUAACACGUGAGUAACCUGCCCUUGACUUUGGGAUAACUUCAGGAAACUGGGGCUAAUACCGGAUAGGAGCUCCUGCUGCAUGGUGGGGGUUGGAAAGUUUCGGCGGUUGUGGAUGGACUCGCGGCUUACCAGCUUGUUGGUGGGGUAGUGGCUUACCAAGGCUUUGAAGGGUAGCCGGCCUGAGAGGGUGACCGGCCACAUUGGGACUGAGAUACGGCCCAGACUCCUACGGGAGGCAGCAGUGGGGAAUAUUGCACAAUGGGCGGAAGCCUGAUGCAGCAACGCCGCGUGCGGGAUGACGGCCUUCGGGUUGUAAACCGCUUUCGCCUGUGACGAAGCGUGAGUGACGGUAAUGGGUAAAGAAGCACCGGCUAACUACGUG
rnacentral:rRNA from 1 species